CACGUAGGGCGCAAGCGUUGUCCGGAAUUAUUGGGCGUAAAGAGCUCGUAGGCGGUCUGUUGCGUCCGCUGUGAAAACCCGGGGCUUAACCCUGGGCUGGCAGUGGAUACGGACAGACUAGAGGUAGGUAGGGGAGAAUGGAAUUCCCGGUGUAGCGGUGAAAUGCGCAGAUAUCGGGAGGAACACCGGUGGCGAAGGCGGUUCUCUGGACAGCUCCUGACGCUGAGGCGCGAAGGCUAGGGGAGCAAACGGG
rnacentral:rRNA from 1 species